AUACGGAGGGUGCAAGCGUUGUCCGGAUUUAUUGGGUUUAAAGGGUGCGUAGGUGGCGUGUUAAGUCAGUGGUGAAAGCCUGCAGCUCAACUGUAGAGGUGCCAUUGAUACUGACAUGCUUGAGUAUGGACGAGGUAGGCGGAAUUUGUGGUGUAGCGGUGAAAUGCAUAGAUACCACAAAGAACACCGAUAGCGAAGGCAGCUUACUGGACCAUAACUGACACUGAGGCACGAAAGUGUGGGUAGCGAACAGGAUUAGAAACCAUAGUAGUCC
rnacentral:rRNA from 1 species